AAAUCAUGCAUUGGGCAUUUUCUAAUUAACUUCUUAAAUUGCUCGUAUGCUUCAUAUAAUGUUUCAUCCUUAGUUUGCCAAAAAGACGUAAUAUCGUUCCUAAAUUU
rfam:Gossypium raimondii chromosome 7, whole genome shotgun sequence.